UAGUCAUAUGCUUGUCUCAAAGAUUAAGCCACGCAUGUCUAAGCACAAGCCGAUUAAUGGUGAAGCCGCGAAUGGCUCAUUACAACAGCCAUAGUUUCUUAGAUCUUACUUUUCCACUUGGAUAACUGUGGUAAUUCUAGAGCUAAUACACGCAAACAAGCUCAGACCUUACGGAAUGAGCGCAUUUAUUAGAACAAAAACCAAUCGGGCUUCGGUCCGUCAUUUGGUGAAUCUGAAUAACUUUGCUGAUCGCACGGUCUUCGUACCGGCGACAUAUCUUUCAAAUGUCUGCCUUAUCAACUUUCGAUGGUAGUUUAUGCGCCUACCAUGGUUGUAACGGGUAACGGAGAAUAAGGGUUCGACUCCGGAGAGGGAGCCUGAGAAACGGCUACCACAUCCAAGGAAGGCAGCAGGCACGCAACUUACCCACUCCCGGCACGGGGAGGUAGUGACGAAAAAUAACGAGACGGCUCGCUAUGCGGUCCGUCAUCGGAAUGGGUACAAUUUAAAUCCUUUAACGAGGAUCUAUU
rnacentral:rRNA from 1 species